UACAGAGGUCUCAAGCGUUGUUCGGAUUCAUUGGGCGUAAAGGGUGCGUAGGCGGCUCGGUAAGUCGGGUGUGAAAUCUUGGAGCUUAACUCCGAAACUGCAUUCGAUACUGCCGUGCUUGAGGACUGGAGAGGAGACUGGAAUUUGCGGUGUAGCGGUGAAAUGCGUAGAUAUCGUAAGGAAGACCAGUGGCGAAGGCGGGUCUCUGGACAGUUCCUGACGCUGAGGCACGAAGGCCAGGGGAGCAAACGGG
rnacentral:rRNA from 1 species